GAGAGCUUGCUCUCGGGUGACGAGCGGCGGACGGGUGAGUAAUGUCUGGGAAACUGCCUGAUGGAGGGGGAUAACUACUGGAAACGGUAGCUAAUACCGCAUAAUGUCGCAAGACCAAAGUGGGGGACCUUCGGGCCUCAUGCCAUCAGAUGUGCCCAGAUGGGAUUAGCUAGUAGGUGGGGUAACGGCUCACCUAGGCGACGAUCCCUAGCUGGUCUGAGAGGAUGACCAGCCACACUGGAACUGAGACACGGUCCAGACUCCUACGGGAGGCAGCAGUGGGGAAUAUUGCACAAUGGGCGCAAGCCUGAUGCAGCCAUGCCGCGUGUGUGAAGAAGGCCUUCGGGUUGUAAAGUACUUUCAGCGGGGAGGAAGGCGUUAAGGUUAAUAACCUUGGCGAUUGACGUUACCCGCAGAAGAAGCACCGGCUAACUCCGUGCCAGCAGCCGCGGUAAUACGGAGGGUGCAAGCGUUAAUCGGAAUUACUGGGCGUAAAGCGCACGCAGGCGGUCUGUCAAGUCGGAUGUGAAAUCCCCGGGCUCAACCUGGGAACUGCAUUCGAAACUGGCAGGCUAGAGUCUUGUAGAGGGGGGUAGAAUUCCAGGUGUAGCGGUGAAAUGCGUAGAGAUCUGGA
rnacentral:rRNA from 1 species